rnacentral:lncRNA from 1 species
AUUUGGGUAAGGACACAGAUCCAAACCGUAUCAGGUGUUUGUAUUUCCUUUCAGAGUGAAGAUAUCCUCAAAUGUCUAGUGAUCCUUAACUGUCUGUUCACCUUUAAGACUACAGCACUAAAAAUCUGAUUGGAAGUUCUGAUAUAUGAGUUGGGUUGCCAACUCUGGGUCUUACCCCAGUCCUACAUUCACUGCCACUUCCAGAAAUAUCUGGUAUCACCAAUUCAUGAGCCCACUGGAGGUUUUGAGGUGCAAGUCUGGAUGAUGUAUUGGCUUUUCCUGCCAGAAUAGAAACUCCACAAAAACAGUGAUCUUGGUUUUGUUCAUUGAUGAAAUCCAAGGACUUAGAAGAGUGCCUGGCACAUGUAUAAUUACGGGAAAACGUCAGACAAACCCAAAUUGAGAGACAUUCUACAAAAUACCCAAAAAACAUCAUUUAAAGGGACCAAGUCAUGAAAAACAAGGAGACUGAGAAACUGUCACCAACUGGAGGAGCCUAUGGAGACAAAACAACUAUGUCUACGCAGCGUGGUAUUUUGGUUUGCAUUCUGGAAAGAAAAAGGACGUUGGUAUAAAAAUUGGUGAUAUCAGAAUAAAGUCUAUAGUUGAAAUAGCGUUGCAUCAAUGGGAAUUGCUUAGUUUUGACCAGGAAACAAGCUCAAGUGUGGUUAAGUCCAGAACUUGGCCAUGAUCAGCAAGUAAGAGGAAGAAGCAGGACUCAAACCCAGACAGCCUGUCAACUGGCCACCAAGCAUAAUUAUCAUGCCUGCUUGGUUUCACAUCCUCAGAG